ensembl:snRNA U6 U6 spliceosomal RNA
GUGCUCAUUUCAGCAGCAUAUGUACUAAAAUUGGAACGAUACAGAGAUUAGCAUGAUCCCUGUGCAAGGACGACAUGCAAAUUUGUGAAGUAUUCUGUAUUUUU